rnacentral:rRNA from 1 species
GACGAACCGUACGAACGUUAUUCGGAAUCACUGGGCUUAAAGGGUGCGUAGGCGGCGCGGAAAGUUGGGUGUGAAAUCCCCCGGCUCAACCGGGGAAUGGCGCCCAAAACUACCGUGCUCGAGGGAGACAGAGGUGAGCGGAACUUAGGGUGGAGCGGUGAAAUGCGUUGAUAUCCUAAGGAACACCAGUGGCGAAAGCGGCUCACUGGGUCUCUUCUGACGCUCAUGCACGAAAGCUAGGGUAGCGAACGGG